AAUGAUCUUUUAUCGAAUCGUUUAUCUAAUUCUGAAAACUUAUUAUCAGAAAUCGUGGCGCUAAGAACCAAUUUCAAAGCAGUGCAACUUGAAUGAGACAAUACAGAUGCAGACUGAACAGCUUCAACAAGAACUGGAACAGUUUGAUCCAAACUUUUUUUCGAAGAGAUAGAAGAUCUUACAUUCAAUUACAGAGAAGCAAGUGAGAGGAAUAUUAAUCAAUUAAGGAACUUCUCCAGGCAGUUGGGUGUUUCUAUAGAUAUUCCGCCGUGACAACUGGUCAAGACCACCAAACUAUCCUGUGUUAAUGUUUGUAAAAAUGCUUAAAAGUUUUACUAAAAUUGUUGUGUGUGUUACCAAAUAUUUUUAACGUGCAAAAGUUAUUUUAUGCAAAUAAUUAACAGGAAUCCAUCCAAAAUAAUUAUAAAAAUAAUUUUGUAUAAAUAGUAUGACCAAGACAAAUGAUGGUUUGCAUUGGUACCGACUAAUCUAUUUUUGUUAGAAGUGUUUUUUUUUGUUUUUUUUUGUAACAAAGGCAGUUAGUCAUUUUAUUCAGGUAAUUAUCUCAUUCAUAGACCAACAAUAUCACUUCUGACUUGUGUGAUUUCUUUUAGGUAAUUAUCUGAUAAGAGUUGUACAAGAUGACCAGUUGGUUGUUGAAAUUUUAGCCCAUUCCAUAGAUUCUUGACACUUUCCGGGCAAAACUUACCCCAUGAAGAAUGGUUAAAUAUAUGAAAUGCUAAAUUUGAAAAACAAGUUUUUUUUAAAUUUAUAAUAAAUGAAUGAAUAUACUGUAUUUGAGAUGCAAAUAAUGUUAUCUUUAUAAGGUAGUUUACCCUACCAUAUUGAAAUGUAUAAUACAAUAUCUUCGUAGAUAAAUGUCAUCAUAGAUAAAUGUUUAAAGAAAUGCUUUUAUCUUCAUUGUGCUAUUUAUUUUCUUUUAAAACUGUAGGCCUAUACAUUGUACUUAAAACCCUGUUUCUCAAAGCGUUUCAUUAUACAGAGUAAUAUAGGCCUACUCUUGAUGAAGCACCGCUACACUUAUAGAGAACGACGCUUAGCUAAAAAAACAUCAGGUUUGGUGCAGCUCUUAUUCGAGAGGAGAGCUUAUUCAAGCAUUUACGUUAAUGCUGCUUUUUGCACCUCUGCUAUGAUAGAUCUUGCUAUCUGUGUGUAUGCUAUUGAAUGAGGUCAAUCAAUCUAUCAAUCAAUCAAUCACCCCUUUUAUUACAACUGUCAAUGGAAAACAGUAGUUUAACUUAGAAAGAUUAUGAAUAAAAAGGCACAUAAAAAAAUUACUUCAAUGUUAAAAUAUAAAACCAUACAAAGUACUUCAAAACGGACAAUACAAAUCGUUAUUUUAUUUUGGAAUUAAGAUAAUAAUCUACAAAUUUACUCUCUUAUUUAUAUCUUAUAUUUAGAAACGACUGAAAGUCGAUAACGUACAAUUUAAAGUAUUUUAAUUGUUACUGUGUACUGAAGUUUCACUUGCAAUUUAGAUCCUUUAGUGUUUUAAUAAUGAACUCAUGAAAACAAACUCUAAAUAUAGUGAUUAGGAUAAAAAUGUUGUUUGCAGUUAAUAUUUACGUAUGUACAUUGGUUUCAGCAGGGAACAGUUAAAUUACUGUUUCAGCAUAUGCAAUAAAUGGGGUCAAGAUA